GACGAACGCUGGCGGCGUGCUUAACACAUGCCAGUCGAACGGUAAGGCCCCUUCGGGGGUCCACGAGUGGCGCACGGGUGAGUAACACGUGGGCAACCUGCCCUUGACUCUGUAAUAACAGUUGGAAACAGCUGCUAAUACUGAUAUUCAUCGUCUCCUUCCUGGGGGGUGGUGGAAAGCUCCGGCGGUCAGGGAUGGGCUCGCGGCCUAUCAGCUUGUUGGUGAGGUAAUGGCUCACCAAGGCUUCGACGGGUAGCCGGCCUGAGAGGGCGACCGGCCACACUGGGACUGAGAUACGGCCCAGACUCCUACGGGAGGCAGCAGUGGGGAAUAUUGCACAAUGGGCGCAAGCCUGAUGCAGCAACGCCGCGUGCGGGAUGACGGCCUUCGGGUUGUAAACCGCUUUCAGUAGGGACGAAGGGUGACUGACGGUACCUACAGAAGAAGGACCGGCUAACUACGUG
rnacentral:rRNA from 1 species